rnacentral:rRNA from 12 species
AGGCGGGACUACCCGCUGAACUUAAGCAUAUCAAUAAGCGGAGGAAAAGAAACUAACAAGGAUUCCCCUAGUAACUGCGAGUGAAGCGGGAUGAGCUCAAAUUUAAAAUCUGGCGUCUUCGGCGUCCGAGUUGUAAUUUAGAGAAGUGUUUUCCGCGCCGGACCGUGUACAAGUCUCCUGGAACGGAGCGUCAUAGAGGGUGAGAAUCCCGUCUUUGACACGGACCCCCGGUGCUCUGUGAUACGCUCUCGAAGAGUCGAGUUGUUUGGGAAUGCAGCUCAAAAUGGGUGGUGAAUUCCAUCUAAAGCUAAAUAUUGGCGAGAGACCGAUAGCGAACAAGUACCGUGAGGGAAAGAUGAAAAGCACUUUGGAAAGAGAGUUAAACAGUACGUGAAAUUGUUGAAAGGGAAACGCUUGAAGUCAGUCGCGUCC